AUUGAACGCUGGCGGCAGGCCUAACGCAUGCAAGUCGAGCGGAUGAAGGGAGCUUGCUCCUGGAUUCAGCGGCGGACGGGUGAGUAAUGCCUAGGAAUCUGCCUGGUAGUGGGGGAUAACGUCCGGAAACGGGCGCUAAUACCGCAUACGUCCUGAGGGAGAAAGUGGGGGAUCUUCGGACCUCACGCUAUCAGAUGAGCCUAGGUCGGAUUAGCUAGUUGGUGGGGUAAAGGCCUACCAAGGCGACGAUCCGUAACUGGUCUGAGAGGAUGAUCAGUCACACUGGAACUGAGACACGGUCCAGACUCCUACGGGAGGCAGCAGUGGGGAAUAUUGGACAAUGGGCGAAAGCCUGAUCCGGCCAUGCCGCGUGUGUGAAGAAGGUCUUCGGAUUGUAAAGCACUUUAAGUUGGGAGGAAGGGCAGUAAGUUAAUACCUUGCUGUUUUGACGUUACCAACAGAAUAAGCACCGGCUAACUUCGUG
rnacentral:rRNA from 1 species